rnacentral:tRNA from 1 species
UUAAUUGAAGCCAAAAAGAGGCAUAUUACUGUUAAUAAUAUAAAUGAACAAAUUUAAGUUCCAAUUAAG